UACGUAGGGUGCAAGCGUUUGUCCGGAAUUAUUGGGCGUAAAGCGCGUGUAGGCGGCUUGGCAAGUCAGAUGUGAAAGCCCUCGGCUUAACCGAGGAAGUGCGUCUGAAACUGCUGAGCUUGAGUGUCGGAGAGGAUGGCGGAAUUCCGCAAGUAGAGGUGAAAUUCGUAGAUAUGCGGAGGAACACCGGUGGCGAAGGCGGCCAUCUGGACGACUACUGACGCUGAGACGCGAAAGCGUGGGGAGCAAACAGG
rnacentral:rRNA from 1 species